UUGUUUCUACGGGACGCAGCAGUGGGGAAUAUUGGACAAUGGGGGAAACCCUGAUCCAGCGACGCCGCGUGAGUGAAGAAGUAUUUCGGUAUGUAAAGCUCUGUCAGCAGGGAAGAAAAUGACGGUACCUGACUAAGAAGCCCCGGCUAACUACGUGCCAGCAGCCGCGGUAAUACGUAGGGGGCAAGCGUUAUCCGGAUUUACUGGGUGUAAAGGGAGCGUAGACGGCAUAGCAAGUCUGAUGUGAAAGAUCGGGGCUCAACCCCGGGCCUGCAUUGGAAACUGUUAAGCUGGAGUACAGGAGG
rnacentral:rRNA from 1 species